AGUUUGAUCCUGGCUCGAAUGAACGCUGGCGGCAGGCCUAACACAUGCAAGUCGAACGGAGUUAUAUUGUAGCUUGCCAUGGUAUAACUUAGUGGCAGACGGGUGAGUAAUGUAUAGGAAUCUACCUAGUAGUACGGAAUAAUUGUUGGAAACGGCAACUAAUACCGUAUACGCCCUACGGGGGAAAAAUUUAUUGCUAUUAGAUGAGCCUAUAUUAGAUUAGCUAGUUGGUGGAGUAAUAGCCUACCAAGGCAAUGAUCUAUAGCUGAUCUGAGAGGAUGAUCAGCCACACUGGAACUGAGAUACGGUCCAGACUCCUACGGGAGGCAGCAGUGGGGAAUAUUGGACAAUGGGCGAAAGCCUGAUCCAGCCAUGCCGCAUGAGUGAAGAAGGCCUUUGGGUUGUAAAGCUCUUUUAGUGAGGAAGAUAAUGACGGUACUCACAGAAGAAGUCCUGGCUAACUCCGUGCCAGCAGCCGCGGUAAUACGGAGAGGGCUAGCGUUAUUCGGAAUUAUUGGGCGUAAAGGGCGCGUAGGCGGAUUAGUAAGUUAAAAGUGAAAUCCCAAGGCUCAACCUUGGAAUUGCUUUUAAAACUGCUAAUCUAGAGAUUGAAAGAGGAUAGAGGAAUUCCUAGUGUAGAGGUGAAAUUCGUAAAUAUUAGGAGGAACACCAGUGGCGAAGGCGUCUAUCUGGUUCAAAUCUGACGCUGAGGCGCGAAGGCGUGGGGAGCAAACAGGAUUAGAUACCCUGGUAGUCCACGCUGUAAACGAUGAAUGUUAAAUAUGGGAAGUUUUACUUUCUGUAUUACAGCUAACGCGUUAAACAUUCCGCCUGGG
rnacentral:rRNA from 1 species